CCUACGGGAGGCAGCAGUGAGGAAUUUUGGUCAAUGGGCUCACGCCUGAACCAGCCAAGUCGCGUGAGGGAAGACUGCCCUAUGGGUUGUAAACCUCUUUUGUAAGGGAGCAACGCCGCCUACGUAUAGCCUGACUCAUAGACCCUAAAGAAACAGCAUGCGCUAACUCCGUGCCUGCAGCCGCGGUAAUACGGAGGAUCCGAGCGUUAUCCGGAUUUAUUGGGUUUAAAGGGAGCGUAGAUGGGUUGUUAAGUCAGUUGUGAAAGUUUGCGGCUCAACCGUAAAAGGGCAAUUGAUACUGGCAGUCUUGAGUACAGUUGAGGUAGGCGGAAUUCGUGGUGUAGCGGUGAAAUGCGUAGAUAUAACGAAGAACUCCGAGUGCGAAGGCAACUUACUAGACUGCAACUGACAUUGAUGCUCGAAAGUGUGGGUAUCAAACAGGAUUAGAUACCCGUGUAGUC
rnacentral:rRNA from 1 species